UUUCCGUAGGUGAACCUGCGGAAGGAUCAUUAUUGAGGGCGUAUGGGCUUAAUAACCCCUGCGAACCCCCCAAUCCUUUGUUUAUUGUCCCUUUGUGGUUUGCUUGGGCAUAAAGCUGUGGGGAUAAAAAAGACUAUGAACCCCUAUGAAAGGGGGCGAAAUGGAUUCUUCUUGGUCUCACACACAAAGCAUUGAGUUGCCCAGAAGACUACCUAAAUUAAAAUUCAAUAAUUUUUGAUGUCUGAACAAUUGUAUAAAACAAGCAAAACUUUCAACAACGGAUCUCUUGGUUCCGGCAUCGAUGAAGAACGCAGCGAAAUGCGAUAAGUAAUGUGGACCGCAGUACUCAGCGACUCAUCGAAUCUUUGAACGCAUAUUGCGCCCCGUGGUGACCCCAUAGGGCACACCUGUCCGAGCGUCAUUGGCCAAAACUUUUUUACUUUACAGGUUGUAUAUAGAGGUUGUCAUAGGAAUUCGGUAUUUAUUUGAGCUUAUCUGCUUUAGGCAGAAGUUUUAAAGUUAGUGACGGUUCUGAUAAGUGUUCCAACGUAGUAAUAAUUAAAUCGUUGGUAAGAAUGCUUUUCUAAAACUAGUCAAAAACCAUAUGAUAUUCUAGGGUUUCUGCUGGCAGAAACCUGGUUGGAUGUCCCAAAUAAUGACCGCGGAUCAGGUGAGGAUACCCGCUGAAUUUAA
rnacentral:misc_RNA from 1 species